AGGACAUUGAAAGCCUUUUCAAAGAUUUUAUUUUGAAUCAUGUGUGCGUGUGUCAGUGGGGUGGGAGUAUGUACACCUGAGCACCCAUGCCCUGGCGUUGGAGUUCCGGGAGGUGGUGAUUCCCCUUAGAGAGCGGUGGGUGCUCUUAAAGCCAGCUCCAUCUCCCAAUACCCUUUAGAAAUUUUAUAACAAGUAUAUUUUACAGUGCUAGGAACUAAUUGUCUUAUUACAGAUUGCUUUCUUUCAUGAGCUUAUAGCCCAGACUCUAGUAUUAUCUGUUAUUUUAUAAUGAGAGUACAAAUUUCCACGGUCUUUGCGCAUGUCUCCCUGGACCGAGGUGGAUUUGCAUAUACCCCCUGAGUAUGUGACCUCUUCAGAUUGCCUUUAAAAAAUAGUUUUCUUAAAAAAAAAGAAAAGAAAGAUUGAGCCCCAGCAUAAUGAAGAGUUGGGGGAGGAGAUAAAGAAAAUUUACGAGGUAAUGUUUCGCAUUCCUUUCGUGACUGUGGAAGGUGCUGGCCGUCUCUGCCCUGGGCGUUUUUAAAUCGGCUUGCCUCUGCGGCUGGAGGGAGGGGAGCUUGUCGGACUGAAGUGCCACCUGGGCUUGGGGACAGUGAGGGGCGGCUGGUGACAAAGGACCAGGUACGGCGUUCGGUGGGGGUGAUCCUUGCAGAAGGCAGCGACGCCGCGGGGGCAUGCAGCCUAGGAGGCACAAAGACCCGUGGCCAAGGCCAGGGGCAGGAUCCCCAACAUCAGGGGCCUUCUGUUAGGGGCCCCGAAGCCCCAGGAGACUUUUAAAACUACUUCUUCAAGAAAAGUGAAGGCAGGGGUCGUUGAGCACGCUAGUAAUACCGCCUCUCUAAAGGCAGAAGAUCAUGAGUUCAAGGUCAUCCUCCACCAGGUAGACUUUGAGGCCAGUCUUGGCUUUGUCAGGGGCUAUCCCCUUUCUGACAAAAUAUGAAUCAACGCCUUGGCUAAUUCAGCACUUUUGCUGGAGUUUUCAGGGGCCACAGAGCCUCCCCUUGGUUAUCAACUUGUGGGGGGGGGGUAUGGAUGGAUGACACCUCUGCUGAAGAACUGCCUCAGGAGAUGGGUUCUUGAUUGUGAAUUCAUGGGCGGGGUGGGGGCCGCCCACUAUGGGCCUGGGCUGUAUAAGGUAGCUGAAUGAGAGACCAAGAGCCAGAGCCCCAUGCAGCUUUCCUCCCGGGUUCCUGCCUUGGCUCCAUUUUGAAUUCCUUCACUGAUUUCCCUCCAUGAUUGGCUAUGAUUCAGAACCAUAUGUAAGCCCGAUAAACCAAAUUAACCAAGUUAAUUUUGGUCCUUUUUAUUACAGCAACAGAGAAGCAAUCUAGAAUACGCCCCUCUCCAUAGUACCUCAGAUACUUCUAGCCUCAACUGAGACCUCUCCACGUUCCUUAAGUAUUGCGGUUUAAUAAUUCUGCCUGACUUUCUAUCUGAGGGCCACUCUUUGUUUUGCAAAGUCAAACUCAAAACCAUGGAGAGGAAGUCUAGGAAAUGAUGUGACCAGGCUUCCAAGAGCAGCAGCUAGGGUUUCAUUAAAUCAUUCAAAGCCCCAGCAAGCACCCCUUCUGCCCACCCUGCACAGAUCUCAGAAUACUCUUAACCUCCCCAGGUUUCUGCUCUAUCUUACUCCCGAGCGGUGACUACCGAGCACCAAGCCAAUGCUUUCACACAGAAAGUGUACAACACAGACCCCAGCUUGCCUGGCAGGGAGUGACAAAGACGUCAUCAUCCCCAUGUUCCCUGUCCCUCAACUCUGCAUGCCAGAGUUGAAUGUCCUCACCCCCGCUCUCUGAAGUCUCAUUGCCACCUGCAGACACCAGCCACCCUUUGGUCCCAUUCCCUUCCUGUACAAACUGGGGCUGUCUACAGUGUUGAUUUUAUGUAUAGAACAUGUUAGAAUUCCAGAAAAAGUGUUCUUGGGAAAGAAUGAGACAUGUUAAUUCCCCCACCACCUCCGUUGAGAUCGGGGUCUCGUAUCCUGAGAGUGAUCAUCUCUUUUUAAAUUACAAGCAUUUUUUUUUUUUUUUUUUUUAGAUUUAAAGAUGAUGCAUAUGGGUCUCUUUUCUGCUAGUUGGAGUUUUGAUCUUGGUCUUUCCUAGGGCUAAGCAAUUUUGUUUGUAACAUACUUUCGAGGCUUCUACCCAUCACUGCAAAGCCAUCAGAGAUGCUGUAUCCAAGUGUGAGCCCAGGAUCUUCUCACAUGUCCUAUUGAAGAAGAUUCCUAAUGGGUCAGAAGUCCCACACUCAAAAAUGGCAGCCAAGGUUCUGAGAACGCUGACCCCAACCCUGGGGCCGAGAAGUUUCGUUCCCUUUGACCAGAACAGAAGUGAAAGAAUCUGUGGGAGAUUCAAAGUGAAUUCUCAGGAGAAGGCUCCCGGCAUUGCUGUGGCUACAGAAUGAUCAUCUCAUAGCAAGGAUGGACAGAUUCAUGAGGAGUGAAACAAACAAACAAAAAAUAACAAAACCUAAGACGUCUUCACGGGAAUCAGCAUGAAGAAAAUAGUGGGCCUUUCAGCUGCAUCUGCGCUUUCUGCCUAAAUCAUGGGUAGAUCUUUCUGAGAAUGCCAGGGUAGGGGGAAGAAAUAAGACAGUCAGUUUAGGCCUAAGCCAUACACUGACCUUGAUGCCGAUAAUGCUGGGCAGCAGACGUGGGAGCUAUCCUGUGAGAUUAACGCGCACACCAGUCGUUUAGAAUAAUCUGUGCAUGAGUCUCUGGUACACAGAGCCUCUCUCAUUUCUCUGGUGCGGGGAUCUCGUCCACAUUGUCCCCAGUGAUCUGUACGAAAUGUGAAGUUUGAAUGCAUGGGACUUCAUUAUAUCUUCAUGUUCCAAUUUGACCCAAAGAAGCACAGGUGAGUCUCAAGUAUUCUAUGAGUCUCAGAAGCCUCAAGUUUGAGAUAAAGACAAGAACUUGGAAGAAUGAGUAGAAUUUGGGGUAGUUUAGUUAAAAGGUAAUGAUUAUAGUAGACCAUUGGAUUUUCGAGGCUGGAGAAAUGUGUGGUAAAGGCAAUUGUUAUUUUAUCUCAUCUCGUUAUCUUAAUUUGUAGUAAUAAAUGUACAGAAAUGAUUCAAAAUAGAAAAAUAUGUAUAUGAA